UGGGGAAUAUUGGACAAUGGGCGAAAGCCUGAUCCAGCCAUGCAGCGUGUGUGAAGAAGGUCUUCGGAUUGUAAAGCACUUUAAGUUGGGAGGAAGGGCAGUAAGCGAAUACCUUGCUGUUUUGACGUUACCGACAGAAUAAGCACCGGCUAACUCUGUGCCAGCAGCCGCGGUAAUACAGAGGGUGCAAGCGUUAAUCGGAAUUACUGGGCGUAAAGCGCGCGUAGGUGGUUCGUUAAGUUGAAUGUGAAAGCCCCGGGCUCAACCUGGGAACUGCAUCCAAAACUGGCGAGCUAGAGUAGGGCAGAGGGUGGUGGAAUUUCCUGUGUAGCGGUGAAAUGCGUAGAUAUAGGAAGGAACACCAGUGGCGAAGGCGACCACCUGGGCUCAUACUGACACUGAGGUGCGAAAGCGUGGGGAGCAAACAGG
rnacentral:rRNA from 1 species